rfam:Culex pipiens quinquefasciatus supercont3.273 genomic scaffold, whole genome shotgun sequence.
CAAAAGGUCCUUUUCAGGACCAGCCAAAAGAGUUCAAAAGAGUAUGU